AGAGUUUGAUCCUGGCUCAGGAUGAACGCUAGCGGCAGGCCUAAUACAUGCAAGUCGGACGGGAUUCAGGGAGUAGCUUGCUACGAACUGAUGAGAGUGGCGCACGGGUGCGUAACGCGUGAGCAACCUACCCAUAUCAGGGGGAUAGCCUCUCGAAAGAGAGAUUAACACCGCAUAACAUCAUUUACCGGCAUCGGUUUUUGAUCAAAUAUUUAUAGGAUAUGGAUGGGCUCGCGUGACAUUAGCUAGUUGGAGAGGUAACGGCUCACCAAGGCUACGAUGUCUAGGGGCUCUGAGGGGAGAAUCCCCCACACUGGUACUGAGACACGGACCAGACUCCUACGGGAGGCAGCAGUAAGGAAUAUUGGUCAAUGGAGGCAACUCUGAACCAGCCAUGCCGCGUGCAGGAUGACUGCCCUAUGGGUUGUAAACUGCUUUUGUCAGGGAAUAAACCUUUCUACGUGUAGGAAGCUGAAUGUACCUGAAGAAUAAGGAUCGGCUAACUCCGUGCCAGCAGCCGCGGUAAU
rnacentral:rRNA from 1 species